GGAAGAUCCUGCUGCUUGUCAGGGGGAAAGGAUAUAAGGAGGAAUAUUAAAUUUGAGUGGGAAAAAAUUGUCCAUCUGUAUGGAGAAGCAACCUGUGUGGUGUUUGUGAGGGUCCCCAGGAUGAGAGAUACAGGAGAGCUGUAUACACUGAGAAAUGUUUUUAGCAAGAAAACACCAAGAACAGAUUUCCUGACCUAGACCUUUCUGUCUGCUGCAUGGACUGACCCAUCAGCUGUGGAGCCAGCCUUCCUCCAGCAGAGCAGAGCUGCCUUCUGCAGGCAGGUGGUGCAGGAACUGAGAUCUCUGACACACAGAUAGGGACCUGCAGUUGAUUUGCUGGAAGGCAGUGUUUCCUCUGCACAGGCUGAGGAAAGCAUGACAAGGUGGAGAUCAAUCCCUUUGCAGCUUUUCAGGUUGGAUGUACAAAUUUGUGUUUCACAGUAAUGUAGAAUGGAAAGCAUGACAAGGUGGUCAGGGUAAUUUCUGGUGCAUGAGAUCUGAUACAAUGUUGUGAUAAGCUUUGCAAUCACUGCAUCAUUACACUAAUUGUUUGUCACUGUGCACAUGUGCAUAAAAUCAGCAGUGUUGAACAGAAUACAUUACAUUACUCUUGUGUCAGACAUGGUGUGUCUCAAUCCAUCAAGAGGAAAUGGGUAGAAAUGAAUGUAGGGAAGUGUUUAAGGGAGAAGCAGAGAUUCUAAUUAUUUCACACCAAGAACUUCACAUACUUGCUAAACUGAGUUGUCAUGCUGCUACUGAUUAUAAUUGUCUUCUGCCAUUGACAGGUGAUUGUUUUGUGAUUUCUGUGUCUAAUAAAAAUUCAUUUUAACUAGGAAAUUAUUUUUGUACUAUUAUGGUUUCACUUAGAGAAUUUUUGGAAAGUGUCUCUUUUGGAAAGUGCUGCUACUUUUACCU